UACGUAGGGGCAAGCGUUGUCCGGAAUCAUUGGGCGUAAAGGCGCGUGUAGGCGGCUCGAUAAGUCUGCGUGUGAAAGUUCAGGGCUCAACCCUGAAAAUGCCGGUGGAAACUGUCGGGCUAGAGUCCGGAAGAGGCGAGUGGAAUUCCUGGUGUAGCGGUGAAAUGCGCAGAUAUCAGGAGGAACACCAAUGGCGAAGCAGCUCGCUGGGACGGUAGCUGGACGCUGAGACGCGAAAGCGUGGGGAGCAAACAGGAUUAGAG
rnacentral:rRNA from 1 species